GACGAACGCUGGCGGCGUGCUUAACACAUGCAAGUCGAACGGAAAGGCCCUGCUUUUGUGGGGUGCUCGAGUGGCGAACGGGUGAGUAACACAUGAGUAACCUGCCCUUGACUUUGGGAUAACUUCAGGAAACUGGGGCUAAUACCGGAUAGGAGCUCCUGCUGCAUGGUGGGGGUUGGAAAGUUUCGGCGGUUGGGGAUGGACUCGCGGCUUAUCAGCUUGUUGGUGGGGUAGUGGCUUACCAAGGCUUUGACGGGUAGCCGGCCUGAGAGGGUGACCGGCCACAUUGGGACUGGGAAACGGCCCAGACUCCUACGGGAGGCAGCAGUGGGGAAUAUUGCACAAUGGGCGGAAGCCUGAUGCAGCAACGCCGCGUGCGGGAUGACGGCCUUCGGGUUGUAAACCGCUUUCGCAUGUGACGAAGCGUGAGUGACGGUAAUGGGUAAAGAAGCACCGGCUAACUACGUG
rnacentral:rRNA from 1 species